rnacentral:rRNA from 1 species
AAAAGAAAGAAAUUUUUUAAUAAAUUGGUUGGAAGCUAUCUAGAGGUAAAACCUUUUGUAUCAGGACUUUUCUAGAAUUAUAAAAUUAAAUCCCGAACAGUAAACAAUAAAGGUUAAGAUUCUAGAAAGAUUGGAAAUAAAUUUACUUAACCUUAAGGGCUAUAUGCUUUACUUUACUUUAUAGCUGGAUAAAUGACUCGCUUCAUUAAAGAUGAACUUAGAAAAAUUAAAAAAAAAAUGCCCUAUAAACAAUUAUAAAAAAUUAAAUGUGUAGGGGAAACCAUGUAAAUAAAUUUCUUAAAUUAUUUUUGAGACAAUUUUAAUAAUGUGAAGAUUAGUAAGAAGAUUAUUUAAACCAGGUUUAUUUUAAAAGGUGAUUUACGUCCUAAAACAUAAAACUUUGCAAAAACUGCUGAGACUGUUUAUCAAAAACAUAGGCCUCUUAUUAGAAGCUUGCUUCUGCUCAUUGCCGAGACAAGGUAAAAGGCCGUCACACGCUAAGGUAGCGUAAUAAAAAGUUCAUUAAUUGUGAACCCGAAUGAAAGAAGAAACUCAGCAGUUCUGUCAUAAUUCAGCUAAUAAAAUUAAAAAGUAAUAAAAAAGCUCUUUCAAUUGUAAGACGAGAAGACCCUAGAAACUCUCUAAGUAUUAGUUUUUUGGGGAAAAAUAAUAGGUUAAAUCUUAAGUAUUAAUGAAAUCUCAACCUAAAAAUAAGUUACUCUAGGGAUAACAGAGCAAUUUUGAUUUAAAGAUCUCAUAAAAAUUGAAGAUUGCGACCUCGAUGUUGGAUUCUUCAUUCUAUUAAUCGCAGCAGAUGAUCAAAGAGCAACUGUUCGUUGCUUAAAAGAAGACUUGAUCUGAGUUCAGAUCGGCGUAAGCCAGAUCGGUUUUUAUCUACAAUUAGAAAUAUCGAGACUUGGUACGAAAGGACUUUUCUCUUCUUUGAUAUAUAAGCGUCACUAAAUCAUUAUGUACUCCUCCCCCUGUUAUUGUAAUAUCUUAG